AACAAGUUCGGAACAAGCUGUGAACAACUUGUAACAACCUUGUUGAUAUUAUCAGACUUGUUACAAGGUUGUGCCAACAAGUCCGAUACAGUCAUGAUAUAACAAUAUUGUUACAACUUUGUGUCGUCCACCUUGUUAAAUUUUUGCUAUAUCAUGAAUCUAUCAGACUUGUCAGAACAACUUUGGUACAAAUCUGAUAAUGCCAUCAAGCUUGUUACAAGUUGUUAACAGCUCAGUUGUUCCAAACUCAUU